AGUGAACGCUGGCGGUAGGCCUAACACAUGCAAGUCGAACGGCAGCACAGUAAGAGCUUGCUCUUACGGGUGGCGAGUGGCGGACGGGUGAGGAAUACAUCGGAAUCUACUUUUUCGUGGGGGAUAACGUAGGGAAACUUACGCUAAUACCGCAUACGACCUACGGGUGAAAGCAGGGGAUCUUCGGACCUUGCGCGAUUGAAUGAGCCGAUGUCGGAUUAGCUAGUUGGCGGGGUAAAGGCCCACCAAGGCGACGAUCCGUAGCUGGUCUGAGAGGAUGAUCAGCCACACUGGAACUGAGACACGGUCCAGACUCCUACGGGAGGCAGCAGUGGGGAAUAUUGGACAAUGGACGCAAGCCUGAUCCAGCCAUACCGCGUGGGUGAAGAAGGCCUUCGGGUUGUAAAGCCCUUUUGUUGGGAAAGAAAAGCGGCAGGUUAAUACCCCGCUGUUCUGACGGUACCCAAAGAAUAAGCACCGGCUAACUUCGUG
rnacentral:rRNA from 1 species